rnacentral:pre_miRNA from 1 species
UCGUCAUGAUGAUGCUGAUGAUGAUGAUGAUGAUGAUGAUCAUGAUCAUCAUCAUCAUCAUCAUCAUCAACAUCUUUU